GCGUAACACGUAUGCAACCUACCUUUAACUGGGGUAUAGCUCAGAGAAAUCUGAAUUAAUCCCCCAUAACACUACGACAUGGCAUCAUGAUGUAGUUAAAGCUCCGGCGGUUAAGGAUGGGCAUGCGGUACAUUAGCUAGUUGGUGAGGUAAUGGCUCACCAAGGCUACGAUGUAUAGGGGGUCUGAGAGGAUGAUCCCCCACACUGGUACUGAGACACGGACCAGACUCCUACGGGAGGCAGCAGUAGGGAAUAUUGGUCAAUGGACGCAAGUCUGAACCAGCCAUGCCGCGUGAAGGAUGAAGGCCCUCUGGGUCGUAAACUUCUUUUAUUAGGGAAGAAACCUCAGGAUGCGUCCUGAGCUGACGGUACUUAAUGAAUAAGGAUCGGCUAACUUCGUGCCAGCAGCCGCGGUAAGACGAAGGAUCCAAGCGUUGUCCGGAUUUACUGGGUUUAAAGGGUGCGUAGGCGGAAAAUUAAGUCAGUGGUGAAAGCCCGCAGCUCAACUGUGGAACUGCCAUUGAAACUGAUUUUCUUGAAUAUAGCUGAGGCAGAUGGAAUAUAACAUGUAGCGGUGAAAUGCUUAGAUAUGUUAUAGAACACCGAUUGCGAAGGCAGUCUGCUAAACUAUUAUUGACGCUGAGGCACGAAAGCGUGGGGAGCGAACAGGAUUAGAUACCCUGGUAGUCCACGCCCUAAACGUUGAUUACUCGCUGUUGGCGAUAUACUGUCAGUGGCUAAGCGAAAGCAUUAAGUAAUCCACCUGGGAAGUACGACCGC
rnacentral:rRNA from 1 species